rnacentral:rRNA from 1 species
UACGUAGGGGGCAAGCGUUGUCCGGAGUUACUGGGCGUAAAGGGCCCGCAGGCGGUCGUGUAAGUUUGUACUGACAAUCCCGUGCUUAACGCGGGAGGGUGUAUGAAAACUGUACGACUUGAGGAUGAGAGAGAGACAGGGAAUUCCGGGUGGAGUGGUGAAAUGCGUAGAUAUCCGGAGGAACACCAAAGGCGAAGGCAAUGUCCUGGCUAUUUCCUGACGCUCAGGGGCGAAAGCUAGGGGAGCGAACGGG